rnacentral:rRNA from 1 species
AAACAUGUCUUUUUGAAUUAUAUUUAAAGUCUGACCUGCCCACUGAAUAAUUUUAAAUGGCCGCAGUAUUUUGACUGUGCAAAGGUAGCAUAAUCAUUAGUCUUUUAAUUGAAGGCUGGUAUGAACGGUUGGACGAAGUAUAAGCUGUUUCAUAUAAAUUUAUAAUAGAAUUUUAUAUUUUAGUUAAAAAGCUAAAAUUUUAUUAAAAGACGAGAAGACCCUAUAAAUCUUUAUAAUUAAUAUUAACUAAAUUUUUUUGAUUUGUUUUAUUUUUUUAAUAUUAAUUAUUUUGUUGGGGUGAUGUUAAAAUUUAAUGAACUUUUAAUUUUUAAAAACAUUAAUUUAUGAAUUAUUGAUCCAUUAAUAAUGAUUAUAAGAUUAAGUUACUUUAGGGAUAACAGCGUAAUUUUUUUUGAGAGUUCAUAUCGACAAAAAAGUUUGCGACCUCGAUGUUGGAUUAAGGUAUAAUUUUGGGUGUAGCUGUUCAAAAAUUAAGUCUGUUCGACUUUUAAAUCCUUACAUGAUC